UACGUAGGGUGCGAGCGUUGUCCGGAAUUAUUGGGCGUAAAGAGCUCGUAGGCGGUCUGUCGCGUCGGAUGUGAAAACUCAGGGCUCAACCCUGAGCUUGCAGUCGAUACGGGCAGGCUAGAGUUCGGUAGGGGAGACUGGAAUUCCUGGUGUAGCGGUGAAAUGCGCAGAUAUCAGGAGGAACACCGGUGGCGAAGGCGGCUCUCUGGGACGGUACUGACGCUGAGACGCGAAAGCGUGGGGAGCGAACAGG
rnacentral:rRNA from 1 species